UCGAGUUAAUUCGUUAACUGUUUCUUAUAGGCUUACAAGAUCCUCCAAAUAAAAGUUAAAAUCUGAAUUUAUAAAUUAAUUUGGCAAUCAUGUCACUCAAUCUAAUUCAAGUUUAUUAAUGGUAAGACACUUGAUUCCAUCUAUUAUUUAACAGUGAAAUUAUGGCAAUAUUUAUAAUACCUGAUAUUUUCCAGGACUUUGCAAUGGCAGUUAAGAGUUAAGAAUCAUAUCGCUAAAGAUUGUGUGGUACAGCGUAUGUUCUAACUAUAAAGUUCAAAGGUCAGUAGCACAGAAGUCAUCGACAGUCGUGUACGUCAGACACGUUACGUCACUUCGAAUCGACGUUCUGCUAUUGUCACGCGUAUAUCUGCGCAUUCACGAGCAAUUACCCGGGGUGGGGUAAUCCCGUUAGGCGACGUACAGCUUCCACGGGGGAGGAUCAAAGGACUCGCUAUUCCAAGCUACUGCACUCUUUGGUUGUUCCAGUCGUCGCUACAAUGCUACUGGGGCCUGCAAGAAGGGGAAUCAUCCACGUCUACGUCGUUCCUCGACUUUGUUGGAACUUUGGGCAACUUCCUAAUGCACACCUCUGUUCAACCAACGUCGCUACGCAGCUUCGUACAAUUAUCGUUACUAUUCCGUUUCCGUACCUUUCCCAUAUUUUUAGCCCUUUAUAUCUGAAUUUCCGGUUUCGUUUUUCUGCCACAAGGAUUACCAAAUCCUCUUGAUAUUGUCUUUGCAUCGUCGUUGGAAUGUUUUACAUCGAGAUAGAUUUGCAUAAUACAUUUUGAAUUUCUAUGGAAUUAGAAAAUGAGUGGAUUUUUAGAUCUUGAUGAUGUGGCGAAGAUUAAAAUGGUAAAGAAUUCUUACUGGAACUGAACUUAUCAAAGAUAUUUUGGAUAUUUUGUUCUCACGAUUAGUAAAGAUAUUCAGGUAUCUACUAUUAUCAAGACCAACGCUAAUAUUUUAAUAAGUACAGAAACUUGAAAGGAAACAUUUAUAUCGGAAAUUAACUUGGAUUCAGAAACUGACGCGGCACACGCUAAAUCUUCUGUACUUAUACGGUUAGCAGAGAACGUGGCAGCGCGGUGGAAAAAUUCUGCAACGCGACACGAGACGGCAAUCGCUUAAUUGUGAUUAAUUGCGGUUUUACCAGGAAAAGAUCGCGUUGUAACGCGCGGCCCGAUUACCCGGCGCGAGUCGCUCAAGCGAUUCGCUUGCUCGCGCAACUUUAAAGAGCCAAUUAACACACGCACAAAUGUGCUGUCUCUUUUGGAGUUUAUUUUUUUGGAGAAGAUCCAAUAUUCUGCACAAAUAUUUUCUUUAGGUUUUUGAUGCUUCUUAAUCCUAUUCACCUUACAAAUUUUUGCUAGGAACCAAAUUAGUUCUAUAGAAGGCUCUGUAAUUAUAUCAUCCUUAAUGUUCAUGUCAAAGGAAAAUGUCCCAUGAACCGCAAUACAAUUUAUCUGCAUCUCGUUCAAGAUGAAUACAACGUAUAAGCUUAAAGUACGAUGGAAGGAGGAAAGUUUCGAUGCCUAUUGCUGCGACAUCCGGUUUCCGGACAAGUGAAAUGGCGAAUGGAAUAAUUUAAUAUAGGGGCGAUACAAGGGCCAAAGCGAUCGGUCUAAUCGUGUCUGAACGAGGUUAAAACACCGGCACCCGCCGCUCUUAUUUACGUCCGACAAUAAGUCAAUUCAUCACUCUGCGAUUUGGCCUUAAGUGGUAUCACUGACUCAUACACACAGCCGUCUGGAGCGGUGUGCCUAUUUCGGGCAUAAAUCACUGUUACCCGUGCGGUGCGUAAUAAUGAACAAGCGAGCGUAGCACGCGACCCUUUAAACGUGCUGGCUGGCAAACGAGUGGCUCGUAAGGUAACAGGGAUUAGCUUUGGUCCCUAUGUGUCCCUGCUUAAUCCUGAAAACGUUACGGGCCGCGAAAUUCUUCGCUCGUAUCAGGUCACGUAAAAAUGCAAUUUUACGAGUACGUAGGUUUACAAACUAGGGACCAAGCUAUGCAGAUAACAAUGAAGAUAAAGAAAUGGAUUUUUAUUGCUUGAUAAAUUGGAAAAGCUAACGUACAAUCAGUUUAGAUAUUUUAGAAGUAUUGUAGUCGAAGGAAUAUUUUUAUAACGGUAACUCUAGAAUUUGAAUUGCGAGGGAAAAUUGUCUCUAGUAAACGCAUGCAGUCGGUGAUGUAAUUGCGCUCAUGCGAAGCGCGUUUGCUCAGACAAAUAGAAGAUACCAGGGAAGAUACCAUUUUUAUCGUAGUACCGUGCAAUUAUUUAUGUUUAAGCUUUAAUUGUUGUUUAAGUGUUAAGUUGUUGGUAAGCAAGUAACAAAUAAACAAUUAAUCAGCGAAGAACUUGAGUAAUGAUUUGUUCUGUAUGUUAAGGGGCACUAUAGGCAGUUAAUGAAGGGUAGAAUACUCUGGUAAUAUAAAGAUGCACCGAAGAAAAUCUAUUACGUCUGUUACACCAGUUGAUGAUUAACAUAGAAUGCCCAUGACUUUUCUAUCUAGUCGUCUUAAGUAACUAAUUAUACAAAUUCACCAUUACUACUAUUCCGACUUAUCAAUACCUGGGGUAUUUUGUACGAUAAUAUAUUACUAGAUAAUAAUAUUAGUUGAUUAACAAAUAACAGGUUGUACUUUAUAAAUUUCUAUUGCUACCUUGCAUUAAAUAGGACAAUUAGACAGACUUUACUUUACUUAUUUUAUUACCAAACUUGUCACUAUUAUGCUGAACCUGAACGUUGCAGGUCCACGUAAGAUCCAAAGUCCUUUACCGAAGGUACGAAGUAUAAAAACUAUAUUGCCGUGGCAAUGUCAGAAGUCGCGACAUUUUAGCCGAAUGGCAGCGAGAGACGCGGAUAAACCAGGAAGUACGGGGAACCGACCGGAUCCGGCGAAGUUCUGGCACGGAUUUCGUUCACAGGCUCGUGGCCCACGGCCACGAAAACCCGGGAGACAUGGAUCGUGGGCAACAAGUCACCGGGAAACGGCGCGUGACCGCCACAUUCACGCUGCCAGAUUUACGACAAUAAAAAUGGGCGCCGCCGAAUGGAGGAUCGUCCUUUCGCCGGCCUGUAUCGAGGAAUCGAUUCGCUUUAUCGGGCAACAAUUACGACACCGCAAUGGCAAUCACCAUGUUUCAAAGGAUGACUUCGAUGUGGAAACGAUUAUCUUGAUCAGAGUAAUUAGCAGAUUGCUUGGGCUCAGUUGUUGUGGAAGUAUGGAAAAGGGGAAGAAGAUAAUGAAAGGAUAUUUGGAACUGUUCAGUGUUCAAUCAUUUUCAUUGUCCAUUGUGUAAUGGACGACGAGGAACUUGCGGAAUGUCUUUCCACUAAACGUCGUGUCACAUUUGGAUUCGAUACAUCGAUGGCCAAUGUACUUGAAGAAGGGUUGCUGCAAGGAUACAAGGAUAUAAGAAUGGCUGAAUCGGCACCGGUCGUGUCUCAGCCACAAUAUUAUUCUUCCAGCCGAUACAACGUUUGGAUGGAAUGGGAAUGGCGAAAGAAACAUUUUGCAGAUUGGGCAAUUUUAACGAAGCACUUUACAUCAGUAUCUAUGUAUCAGUGGAUUCUUGAAGAUGCUGGCUAAAAUGCUUGCGAGACGUUGGAUUAUUUCUUUGCAGAAGAUACAUCUGUCAUUAUGUACUUCGGAUUUCCGGAGUCUAGCUUGCAACAUUCUGCGACCUUUCAUCCAUCCAAGAGGAGUCUACAUCCGCAAAAAGCAGGCGAUGAUUAUUCUUCAAGCACCUUCUCAUAUCUGGUUUCCCAAGUUUCACCAUGUUCGUCUUCCAUGAUAAUGCUACAACUACCAAUGAAAAACCAUGAAACACGCGAAUCUAUGAAAUUUCAAUGAAAAAUUACAAACUGGUAGUUCUAGUAUCGAAA